rnacentral:rRNA from 1 species
AGAGUUUGAUUCUGGCUCAGAAUGAACGCUGGCGGCGUGGAUAAGACAUGCAAGUCGAACGAAAACACUGAAUAGCUUGCUAAUUAGUGUUUUAGUGGCGGACGGGUUAGUAACACGUGAGCAACCUGCCUCGAAGCGGGGGAUAGCCUUCCGAAAGGGAGAUUAAUACCGCAUGUGGUCUUCGGACCAAAGACGCCUUCGGGUGUCACUUCGAGAUGGGCUCGCGGCCUAUCAGCUUGUUGGUGAGGUAAUAGCUCACCAAGGCUACGACGGGUAGCUGUUCUGAGAGGAAGAUCAGCAACACUGGAACUGAGACACGGUCCAGACACCUACGGGUGGCAGCAGUCGAGAAUCAUUCACAAUGGGGGCAACCCUGAUGGUGCAACGCCGCGUGGAGGAUGAAGGCCCUAGGGUCGUAAACUCCUGUCAUGUGAGAGUAAGGCAUAGUCGGUUAAGAGCUAACUAUGUUUGAUAGUAUCACAAGAGGAAGGGACGGCUAACUUCGUGCCAGCAGCCGCGGUAAUACGAAGGUCCCGAGCGUUAUUCGGAAUCACUGGGCGUAAAGAGUACGUAGGCGGUUUGGUAAGUCAGGUGUGAAAUCCCGGAGCUCAACUCCGGAACUGCAUCCGAUACUGCUAGACUAGAGUAAUGGAGAGGCAGGUGGAAUUCUCGGUGUAGCAGUGAAAUGCGUGGAUAUCGAGAGGAAGACCAAUGGCGAAGGCAGCCUGCUGGACAUUUACUGACGCUGAGGUACGAAGGCCAGGGUAGCGAAAGGGAUUAGAUACCCCUGUAGUCCUGGCAGUAAACGGUGCGCGCUUGGUGUAGGAGGACUCGACCCCUUCUGUGCCGGAGCUAACGCGUUAAGCGCGCCGCCUGGGGAGUACGGUCGCAAGAUUAAAACUCAAAGGAAUUGACGGGGACCCGCACAAGCGGUGGAGUAUGUGGUUUAAUU